AAAGACACUCUUCUCUCACCCUCACACACACAGCGGUACCACAGUACACACACACUCCGAUACACCAAUACUAAGCUCCAAGCUCCAGGAUCCAGCAAAGUGUCUUGUGUUGGGAGUCCUCUCAGAGUGUGUGUGUUGUGUUGUGUGUGUGUUGCAUUUGUCAAUAGAAGAAGCAAUCAGCUCCUCUCUCUCCUCUUUCUCCUCUUUAUUUCUCUCUCUCUCUUACACACACUCUCUCUCAUUCCCCCUCGUCUCCCUCUCUCUCUCCNNNNNNNNNNCUACAGCCAUGUUCCUCCACCAUGUACAGUAGCCUACAGCCAUGUUCCUCCACCAUGUACAGUAGCCUACAGCCAUGUUCCUCCACCAUGUACAGUAGCCUACAGCCAUGUUCCUCCACCAUGUACAGUAGCCUACAGCCAUGUUCCUCCAUCAUGUACAGUAGCCUACAGCCAUGUUCCUCCACCAUGUACAGUAGCCUACAGCCAUGUUCCUCCACCAUGUACAGUAGCCUACAGCCAUGUUCCUCCACCAUGUACAGUAGCCUACAGCCAUACGAGUUAUAGAAAUUGCCAUCUUGUGUUCGGGGCUUUUCAGCAGUCUUCGUGUUUUUUAUAUGCAGGGAGCAUAAAUUGUAAAAAUGUAAACUUACAAAGAAUUGUUGAAGUUAGAGCCCAUGUAUAUUAGUUGAUAUACAGUCAUGGCUAAAAGGUUUGAGAAUGACACAAAUAUAAAUUUUCGCAAAGUUUGCUGCUUCAGUGUCUUUAGAUAUUCUUGUCAGAUGUUACUAUGGAAUACUGAAGUAUAACUACAAGAAUUUCAUAAGUGUCAAAGGCUUUUAUUGACAAUUACCUUAAUUUGAUGCAAAGACUCAAUAUUUGCAGUGUUGGCCCUUCUUUUUCAAGGCCUCUGCAAUCCGCCCUGGCAUGCUGUCAAUUAACUUCUGGGCCACAUCCUGACUGAUGGCAGCACAUUCUUGCAUAAUCAAUGCUUGGAGUUUGUCAGAAUUUGUGGGUUUUUGUUUGUCCACCCGCCUCUUGAGGAUUGACCACAAGUUCUCAAUGGGAUUAAGGUCUGAAAAAUUGGGCUGACAAGGCUGGAAAUUCUCCAGCCUUGUCCUCGUCAACACUCACACCUGUGUUAAUGAGAGAAUCACUGACAUGAUGUCAGCUGGUCCUUUUGUGGCAGGGCUGAAAUGCAUUGGAAAUGUUUUGGGGGGAUUCAGUUAAUUUGCAUGGCAAAGAGGGACUUUGCAAUUAAUUUCAAUUCAUCUGAUCACUCUUCAUAACAUUCUGGAGUAUGUGCAAAUUGGCAUCAUACAAACUGAGGUAGCAGACUUUGUGAAAAUUAAUAUUUGUGCCAUUCUCAAAACUUUUGGCCACGACUGUACAGUACAGCAACAACUACAUAAAUAUCUACUAAGGUCCAUUANNNNNNNNNNAAGGUUUGAGAAUGACACAAAUAUAAAUUUUCGCAAAGUUUGCUGCUUCAGUGUCUUUAGAUAUUCUUGUCAGAUGUUACUAUGGAAUACUGAAGUAUAACUACAAGAAUUUCAUAAGUGUCAAAGGCUUUUAUUGACAAUUACCUUAAUUUGAUGCAAAGACUCAAUAUUUGCAGUGUUGGCCCUUCUUUUUCAAGGCCUCUGCAAUCCGCCCUGGCAUGCUGUCAAUUAACUUCUGG
rnacentral:lncRNA from 13 species